AGAGGAAGUGUGGCUGGUUACUGAAGACACCUGCAAACCAUUGUUAAAGGAGCCCUAAGAAAGGCACUGAACUUUGUCUUGGCUGGAGGGCUGAGCCACAGAAGACCUGGUGAGAGGCAGAUGGCCAAUACGAGGCACUGGAGAUGAGGGCCCCUUGCAGCAUCACACCCUGAUACAAGGGGGCACUAUAAAUGUAACACCUAGCAGCUACUGUUGCUUCUGAUGGACAUUGAUUUCUGCACAAGUUUUCAAGCCAGCCUUUCCCUGCACACAGAGUUGAACACUGUCUUUUCAUCUUCAGGAGAACCAGCAUGGUGUGGUGACCAGUGGUGGCUUCAGAACUUCCAAAUGAGAAACCAGACAUUCAUGGAGCUGUGUCAAACAAACCUCCAGUGCCAGAGCACUCGAUUCUGGGAAGCUAUACCAGUGCAGAAGCAGUUGCCAUGUUUUGGUCUGGAUUGGAGAUUUGUCUCCUUAGCCCUAUGGAGAACCCUACUACAAAGACCCAAAUCUUCAGGCUUUUAUUGAGGCUUUGCAUUAGGCAUGAGGAUUUAAGCCUAUAAGGAAAGUUUUGUUCUCAGUUCACUCAAAAACUGUUUCCACUGAAUAAUGGACUGAAAAAUACAAACCAUGGUAGGAGUCGUGUGCUAGAGACAGCCCAUUUGGGGACUGCUGGAAGCAGGCUGGAAGCAGACUUUGAUAAUACCCUGGAAGUGGAGAGAACUUUAAUGUGACUUGGCAAGAGGGCGAAACCAUGAAGAGGAAAGUGCUGCAGCUCUGGCAGUGUGAGAAGCCAUGGAGUGAGCGAGUGAGAUGAUGUAACUGCAGGUCUGAGUAACUGCAGGAUGGGGCAUCAGACCAGGUGGUGAGCUAAUUCCCCAGAUGAGCCAGGAGGAGGCACUGCUGAAUGGUAGGUAGAACAGACCCCGUGACACCCCUAAGUACACAACUCUUGCAGGUUUAGAGAAUUUCUGGUACCUUGUCUAUCUGACUGAGUGCUAAUGGGAAGGGGACCCAUGGUUAAGCUGUUCCAAACUGAGAGACAAAAGUCCUAUCUGGUUUUCUGAGCUCUCAAGGCUGAAUUGUGAUGUUUUGUUGCAAGGCCUGACUAGGGAGGAGAGCAGAGUUGCACUGUUGCAGGAAAGGCACUGGGGAGAUGGUGCAUCAGGUAGCCACAAUCUCCAUGGUGCUAUUCUCCACAGAUAAGGGUAAGCGUUUAGGUAGGCAUAAAUUAUUCUUUCUGGUGCACUGGCUGUACUGGGAUGGUGCAGAAUGAAUGUGGUGCCAGAGUCUUACCCUUCCCUGCCCCUUUCAAUAUUGCUAUUUUGUCCUGUUUUUGAGUCAUGCCAUGUAAAUGCAGGGGGGAGGGACAGCUGGGAUUUCCCUCGGAGUUGCUCAAAGCGUACAAGAAUCUAUACCUUACACUAGUGUUAAUACCUGGGAUGGCUGGGAAAUCAUGACAAAUCAUGAAUGUUUUCAUUUUUUAUUUCUGCUUUCAGUUAGCACUUCAGAGAGUUUCUGAAAAUUUCACAUUAGCAGGAAAGCUGGUUAGUAACCAGAAAAAGGAAUGAGUGAAACAUUUUGUGGAAUAUUUUUUGGCCACUUUUAUCCAAAUUUGGUUUCACAUAUUUAGAAGUGGGCUCCCCCUUGUUUAGAGCUUAUUUACCAUAAACUAAAGAAAACAAAAUGCACAUAAAAAUCUUGUUUGGGGCAUUUAACAAAAAAUGAUUAGCUGUAACUAAUGCAGUAUUUUGAGCUACUAACAUAGAAUACAGGAGUGUUUAUUUCAUGAAGGAAAUUUUCUGUUCUCUGAAUCCAUAAACAUCACUCACUUGUUGUGAAGUGUUUCCAUUUCUGUGCCUACUUCAGUGCUGCUUGCUCUCAUGAUUAUAGUACAUACUAUGUCAUAUCAAGCACAAUUGUACUGAAAACUGUCCAACAAGGAAAAACCAAAAGGUCUUCAAAGAGAGAUUUCUUUGCUUCAAGACAAGCUUACUUUCUGUAUUUUGCCCUUAUAUCUCAGUUAUGAAUAAUAAGAAUGUUAACGCAGCA